UAUCUACAGGCUUAACACAUGCAAGUCGAGGGGCAUCAGGAAGAAAGCUUGCUUUCUUUGCUGGCGACCGGCGCACGGGUGAGUAACACGUAUCCAACCUGCCCUUUACUCGGGGAUAGCCUUUCGAAAGAAAGAUUAAUACCCGAUAGCAUAAUGAUUCCGCAUGGUUUCAUUAUUAAAGGAUUCCGGUAAAGGAUGGGGAUGCGUUCCAUUAGGUUGUUGGUGAGGUAACGGCCCACCAAGCCUUCGAUGGAUAGGGGUUCUGAGAGGAAGGUCCCCCACAUUGGAACUGAGACACGGUCCAAACUCCUACGGGAGGCAGCAGUGAGGAAUAUUGGUCAAUGGGCGCUAGCCUGAACCAGCCAAGUAGCGUGAAGGAUGAAGGCUCUAUGGGUCGUAAACUUCUUUUAUAUAAGAAUAAAGUGCAGUAUGUAUACUGUUUUGUAUGUAUUAUAUGAAUAAGGAUCGGCUAACUCCGUGCCAGCAGCCGCGGUAAUACGGAGGAUCCGAGCGUUAUCCGGAUUUAUUGGGUUUAAAGGGAGCGUAGGUGGACUGGUAAGUCAGUUGUGAAAGUUUGCGGCUCAACCGUAAAAUUGCAGUUGAUACUGUCAGUCUUGAGUACAGUAGAGGUGGGCGGAAUUCGUGGUGUAGCGGUGAAAUGCUUAGAUAUCACGAAGAACUCCGAUUGCGAAGGCAGCUCACUGGACUGCAACUGACACUGAUGCUCGAAAGUGUGGGUAUCAAACAGGAUUAGAUACCCUGGUAGUCCACACAGUAAACGAUGAAUACUCGCUGUUUGCGAUAUACAGUAAGCGGCCAAGCGAAAGCAUUAAGUAUUCCACCUGGGGAGUACGCCGGCAACGGUGAAACUCAAAGGAAUUGACGGGGGCCCGCACAAGCGGAGGAACAUGUGGUUUAAUUCGAUGAUACGCGAGGAACCUUACCCGGGCUUAAAUUGCAGUGGAAUGAUGUGGAAACAUGUCAGUGAGCAAUCACCGCUGUGAAGGUGCUGCAUGGUUGUCGUCAGCUCGUGCCGUGAGGUGUCGGCUUAAGUGCCAUAACGAGCGCAACCCUUAUCUUUAGUUACUAACAGGUUAUGCUGAGGACUCUAGAGAGACUGCCGUCGUAAGAUGUGAGGAAGGUGGGGAUGACGUCAAAUCAGCACGGCCCUUACGUCCGGGGCUACACACGUGUUACAAUGGGGGGUACAGAAGGCAGCUAGCGGGUGACCGUAUGCUAAUCCCAAAAGCCUCUCUCAGUUCGGAUCGAAGUCUGCAACCCGACUUCGUGAAGCUGGAUUCGCUAGUAAUCGCGCAUCAGCCACGGCGCGGUGAAUACGUUCCCGGGCCUUGUACACACCGCCCGUCAAGCCAUGGGAGCCGGGGGUACCUGAAGUACGUAACCGCAAGGAUCGUCCUAGGGUAAAACUGGUGACUGGGGC
rnacentral:rRNA from 1 species